UACAGAGGGGCAAGCGUUGUUCGGAAUUACUGGGCGUAAAGGGCGCGUAGGCGGCCCGCUAAGUCGAACGUGAAAUCCCCGAGCUCAACUCGGGAACUGCGUCCGAUACUGGCGGGCUUGAAUCCGGGAGAGGGAUGCGGAAUUCCAGGUGUAGCGGUGAAAUGCGUAGAUAUCGUAAGGAAGACCAGUGGCGAAGGCGGGUCUCUGGACAGUUCCUGACGCUG
rnacentral:rRNA from 1 species